rnacentral:misc_RNA from 1 species
CGCGACAAGGUCAGCCUGAGGGCACACCUUCAGUGUGUGUACGGCCUCGGGAGGGCGUAUAUCCGCUCGAGUCGCAGAGCGAGGGAAAUGGUGGCGUGAAGCUCUGCCACUGGUGCAUCAGUAGCUCGGCAUUACUGUGUUCGAUGCUCUGCGCUCAGUGGACAUGAUGCUCCGCCGCCCAUAUAUCCCGCUAUGUAUAUCCUGUGUGCGCUCUAGUUCCGUUGGGACCCUGAAGAGUAAGCACACUAAACCAUGCAUUAUACAUGACC